rnacentral:lncRNA from 1 species
GACAAUUAAGUUAUAUUAAGACAAUGUCUUAAUCAUAAUAUAUAUUUUAUUUAUUUGAAUGGAAAGUUUUUUAGUUUGUUGUGGAACUAGACUAGAAAUUACCUAAUAAGCUUCUCAUAACUUGUGUAAUGUGUUUCUUUUACGAAUUUGUAUAUUGGUAUAAUCAUAUCAUGCUAUUCCUACAAUAUUAUAACUAACACUGAGUCUCAAAAGUUUGAGUCUCAAGUCACGAAAAAGGGCCAACUCUCACGUGUUGGCGGAAAGUUAGCAAAAUAUGUUAAGGAUAUAAUUCAGAGAUAAUGUUGCUAAACGAUUUACAGUCGAUAAUCUUUCGAAAGCAGAAAAACUCAGUGUCAAACAAAGAAUACGCGAAUUAUUUGAGAUAUGAUUGAAAUUUGCAAAGAAAGUAAAAAUCAAACUAGUUUCAUUC